UACGUAGGGGGCGAGCGUUGGCCGGAUUUAUUGGGCGGAAAGAGCUCGUAGGCGGUUCGAUAAGUCGGACGUGAAAUCUCCACGCUCAACGUGGAGGGGCCGUUCGAUACUGUCGUGACUCGAGUUCGGUAGGGGAGUGUGGAAUUCCCGGUGUAGCGGUGAAAUGCGCAGAGAUCGGGAGGAACACCCGUAGCGAAGGCGGCACUCUGGGCCGGUACUGACGCUGAGGAGCGAAAGCGUGGGGAGCAAACAGG
rnacentral:rRNA from 1 species